UUAACUUAAAGGAAUUGACGGAAGGGCACCACCAGGGGUGGAGCCUGCGGCUUAAUUUGACUCAACACGGGGAAACUCACCAGGUCCAGACACGAUGAGGAUUGACAGAUUGAGAGCUCUUUCUUGAUUUCGUGGGUGGUGGUGCAUGGCCGUUCUUAGUUGGUGGAGUGAUUUGUCUGCUUAAUUGCGAUAACGAACGAGACCUUAACCUGCUAAAUAGCCCGUAUUGCUUUGGCAGUACGCCGGCUUCUUAGAGGGACUAUCGGCUCAAGCCGAUGGAAGUUUGAGGCAAUAACAGUCUGUGAUGCAAAGAC
rnacentral:rRNA from 1 species